rnacentral:rRNA from 1 species
UACAGAGGGUGCAAGCGUUAAUCGGAUUUACUGGGCGUAAAGGGCGCGUAGGUGGUUGCGUAAGUGAGAUGUGAAAGCCCCGGGCUCAACCUGGGAAUUGCAUCUUAUACUGUGCAGCUGGAGUGAAGUAGAGGGUAGUGGAAUUUCCGGCGUAGCGGUGAAAUGCGUAGAUAUCGGAAGGAACACCAGUGGCGAAGGCGGCUACCUGGACUUAUACUGACACUGAGGCGCGAAAGCGUGGGGAUCAAACAGG